rnacentral:rRNA from 1 species
CCUACGGGUGGCAGCAGUGAGGAAUAUUGGUCAAUGGGCGCGAGCCUGAACCAGCCAAGUCGCGUGAGGGAAGACGGUCCUAUGGAUUGUAAACCUCUUUUGUCGGGGAGCAAAAGACGCCACGCGUGGCGUUCCGAGAGUACCCGAAGAAAAAGCAUCGGUUAACUCCGUUCCAGCAGCCGCGGUAAUACGGAGGAUGCGAGGAUUAUACGGGUGUAUUGGGGUUAAGGGGUGCGCAGGCGGAAGAUCAAGUCAGCGGUAAAAUUGAGAGGCUCAACCUCUUCGAGCCGCUGAAACUGGUUUUCUGGAGUGAGUGAGAAGUAUGCGGAAUGCGUGGUGUAGCGGUGAAAUGCAUAGAUAUCACGCAGAACUCCGAUGGCGAAGGCAGCAUACCGGCGCUCAACUGACGCUCAUGCACGAAAGUGUGGGUAUCGAACAGGAUUAGAUACCCCGGUAGUC